rnacentral:rRNA from 1 species
AACAGCCAAAACUUUCAACAACGGAUCUCUUGGCUCUGGCAUCGAUGAAGAACGCAGCGAAAUGCGAUACGUAAUGCGAAUUGCAGAAUUCAGCGAGUCAUCGAAUCUUUGAACGCACAUUGCGCCCGCCAGCAUUCUGGCGGGCAUGCCUGUCCGAGCGUCAUUUCCCCCCUCAGCACGCCCUUCUUGCAAGGGAGCGCUGGCGUUGGGGCUCCUCCGCCCUCUGUGGCG